UACGUAGGGGGCGAGCGUUGUCCGGAAUCAUUGGGCGUAAAGAGCUCGUAGGCGGUUCAGCAAGUCGGCUGUGAAAUUCCGAGGCUCAACCUCGGAACUGCAGUCGAUACUGCUGUGACUCGAGUCCGGUAGAGGAGAAUGGAAUUCCCGGUGUAGCGGUGAAAUGCGCAGAUAUCGGGAAGAACACCCGUGGCGAAGGCGGUUCUCUGGGACGGUACUGACGCUGAGACGCGAAAGCGUGGGGAGCGAACAGG
rnacentral:rRNA from 1 species